rnacentral:rRNA from 1 species
UCUGGCUCAGGAUGAACGCUGGCGGCGUGCUUAACACAUGCAAGUCGAACGAACCUUCGGGUUAGUGGCGGACGGGUGAGUAACGCGUGAGAAUCUGCCCUCAGGAGGGGGAUAACGGUUGGAAACGACCGCUAAUACCCCAUAUGCCGAGAGGUGAAAUGAAUUUCGCCUGAGGAUGAGCUCGCGUCUGAUUAGCUAGUUGGUGUGGUAAUGGCGCACCAAGGCUUCGAUCAGUAGCUGGUCUGAGAGGAUGAUCAGCCACACUGGGACUGAGACACGGCCCAGACUCCUACGGGAGGCAGCAGUGGGGAAUUUUCCGCAAUGGGCGAAAGCCUGACGGAGCAACGCCGCGUGAGGGAUGAAGGCCUCUGGGCUGUAAACCUCUUUUAUCAAGGAAGAAGAUCUGACGGUACUUGAUGAAUAAGCCACGGCUAAUUCCGUGCCAGCAGCCGCGGUAAUACGGGAGUGGCAAGCGUUAUCCGGAAUUAUUGGGCGUAAAGCGUCCGCAGGCGGUCUUGUAAGUCUGUCGUUAAAGCGUGGAGCUUAACUCCAUUUCGGCGGUGGAAACUACAAGACUAGAGUGUGGUAGGGGCAGAGGGAAUUCCCGGUGUAGCGGUGAAAUGCGUAGAUAUCGGGAAGAACACCAGUGGCGAAGGCGCUCUGCUGGGCCAUAACUGACGCUCAUGGACGAAAGCCAGGGGAGCGAAAGGGAUUAGAUACCCCUGUAGUCCUGGCCGUAAACGAUGAACACUAGGUGUCGGGGGAAUCGACCCCCUCGGUGUCGUARCCAACGCGUUAAGUGUUCCGCCUGGGGAGUACGCACGCAAGUGUGAAACUCAAAGGAAUUGACGGGGGCCCGCACAAGCGGUGGAGUAUGUGGUUUAAUUCGAUGCAACGCGAAGAACCUUACCAGGGUUUGACAUCCUGCGAAUCCCUUGGAAACGAGGGAGUGCCUUCGGGAGCGCAGUGACAGGUGGUGCAUGGCUGUCGUCAGCUCGUGUCGUGAGAUGUUGGGUUAAGUCCCGCAACGAGCGCAACCCACGUUUUUAGUUGCCAGCAUUCAGUUGGGCACUCUAGAAAGACUGCCGGUGAUAAACCGGAGGAAGGUGUGGAUGACGUCAAGUCAUCAUGCCCCUUACAUCCUGGGCUACACACGUACUACAAUGCUACGGACAAAGGGCAGCAAACUCGCGAGAGCUAGCAAAUCCCAUAAACCGUGGCUCAGUUCAGAUCGUAGGCUGCAACUCGCCUACGUGAAGGCGGAAUCGCUAGUAAUCGCAGGUCAGCAUACUGCGGUGAAUACGUUCCCGGGCCUUGUACACACCGCCCGUCACACCAUGGAAGUUGGCCACGCCCGAAGUCGUUACUCCAACCCUUGUGGAGGAGGACGCCGAAGGUGGGGCUGAUGACUGGGGUGAAGUCGUAACAAGGUAGCCGUACCGGAAGGUGCGGCUGGAUCACCUCCUAACAGGGAGACAACAACUGAUUUUGAUGUCUGAGUAUUUUAUUCUCAGGCCAAAAUCCUGUCAUCUCGAAGGUCGAUCGGUACCUCAACUUG